GCAAGUCCCGAAUCUAUUGCUAAACAAGACGCGGAGCUCCGCCGCCGCCUGCUAGCGGAGGAUGAGAAGAACCCCGCCCUCGACGUGGGCCCCAAUGGCCACCCCCUCUUCACUUCGGCUCCGUCUCUCUCUUCGCUCACCGGGGAUGAUGUCAACCAUUACUUUAGAUUCAGGUAGUACAUUGUUUUAAUUAAGUCAGUAUCGUUUGUUUGUUACAAGGUAGGUAUGAUAAUUCGGUGUUCUAACUGCUUCGAAUUUGUUUUUUUUGCCGUCUUGAUAGAUGUUCUCAUCGCGUCUGAGCAGACCUAAAAAGUGAAUCAGCGGUUUGUAUAUUCGGCGAUGAUGUAGCUUUUGUUUUAUUACAAAUUUUUAGAUUAAGCUGUUUCAUGUGAUUUGCUGAAACUCUGUUUUGAGGUGAUAUGCCAUUAAAUGAUUGUUAAUUGAAUAUCUAAUGGGCUUGCAAAGUGUGGCUGUGGCAUUUUCUUCACUAUCAGUUCAAUAUGUCAUUUGUUGUCUACAAACCGCCUGUGUGAGUGUGAAGUAGCAAAAUUUGAUUGGUUGAAUGCAAUUGUAUUUGAUAUAUUUUGUAGCCUGAAGGGGUUGAACGAGGUUUUGCCGGAGGGGCUUCCGUUGGGAAUGGUGAAGGAAUUUGAGGAAUCAUGCAGGAGUGCCUUGUUGGUGCGGCAGUGUUUUAUCAAUCUUCGUGAUAAUUUUAGGCAGGCUAUUGAUCCUUCAUUGGCAGCUAAAUCUAGAGGUCUCUUUCCACCCUUUAUUUGUUGAUUGUCAUAAGCAUUUUUUUGACUUAAGAUGGAGAUUGGAGAGAUUUUUGUAUCUUUUUAUAGGAGUUUGUUCUCACACAUGCAAUUCAUUACAGUUUUGCAAAGGAUCCAGAUAACCUAUGUUAUAAGAGUUCACUGGAUUCAAGGCAGAUUUUUUGUACAGUGAGUGAAUUAAUUUUCUUAUAUUACUGUAUUGGCACCAGUCUACAAGAUAGUUACCGAUAAUAUUUAUUUGUAACAUAUCAUGAUUCUGCCUUCUUGUUUUAUGAAUUGGCGUCUAAUAGGUUUGUCUAGCCUUCAACUAUACAGUAACAUAUCCAACACAAUGUCAUUUCUGGUGUACAAGUAGGUUAUUGACAUUUUCUUUUUGAAGUGGUUGUUGACAAUUUUUGAGCUUGGGAUUUUACGUAUGAAUUUAUUUAUUUAUUUAUUAUUAUUAUUAUUUUUUUUUUAUCCCAAUUGAAAAACUACUCAAAACUGUGUGUAUGCUCUACUUUCAUCUAAGAAUGAGUAAUUUCUGAUGAUCCUAAAUAUCAGGUCUUAAAGUAAGAAAGCAAAUUGUACUAGAUGGCCUUUUGAGUUGUGGGAAGAGUACUGUACUUGCAAUGCUUGUUAACUGGGCCCGCACGGAAGGUUGGCUUGUGCUUUAUGUCCCUCGAGGUCGAGACUGGACACUCGGUGGAUUAUUUUAUAAAAAUCCUGAUACUAAUAUGUGGGAUACCCCUGUGCAGGCUGUAAACAUUCUACAAGUAAGAAAUAUGCAAAUUUCAUUAUACUUUGUUUAUUAUCUUGUAAAGAAUUAGUCAGAAGAUAUUUCACUGUAGUUCAUUUUUUAAUCUUAUUUUUUAUAAUGCAUAUGAUUUUGUACUUGCUUACAUUAGGUUGCUUUUACAACUAUUUUGUCUGUUAAGUGGCGUGAGAUUUCAAAAUUGUGCGUGUUACUUUGACUUGUAGCAUCUCUACCUUAAAAUGAUUUUAUUGUGAUGAAUCUGGUCAGUUUAUAGUUGUCCUCUCAGUUUCUUAAUCACAGAACUCUGUAAACCUUCCAGCUUCAGUUGGUGUCAUUUAAUGAUUGUGUUUGAAUGCAUUUGUUAUUUAUUACUAUCGAACCUGGCUUCUUGGUUGUUUAUUUCAGGAUUUCUUGAAGUUCAAUAAGUCUUUAUUGGAAGGUAUAACAUGCAAAAUACUUGAUCCCAUUCCAUUGGGAGAGGGUGCUGGUGUUGGCUUGCCAAGAGGUAGGGAUAAGGUGCAAAUUACUGAAGGGACAACUCUUUGCCAGCUAGUUGAGGCUGGAAUUAAAGACUCACAUGCUGCUGUUGGAGUGGCAGUUAGAUUGAGGAAGGAAUUAUCUAAAGUGACUAGUGUCCCUGUUCUUAUUGCAAUUGAUCAAGUGAGAAUUCUGUCAACUUCUUAUAUUUCCCUUCCCAGAGUGACUAUUUGCCUUUUUGAAUUUAUUUGCAUCUUCUGCUAAUCGGCUGCUGUAUCUGGACAGUAUAACAAUUGGUUCACAUUUACCAACUUUGAGGAGCCAGUGACGGAUCGUUCUUGUCGACCCAUUCAUGCUAGAGAAGUUGCUACUGUAAGUUGUGAUCUAUUAAAAUAUAACUUGAAAAUUUCAAUUCUUCAUUAAGUGGGGUCAUUUUGUCUGGAUAACUGAAUGCUAGCUGUUUAUGUAUUUCAAUUUAGUGGACCAGGAAGAGACAACUUUAUGUCCCUUUCGCAAGUAGAGAUGUAUUGUAUGGUCUAGGGGUAAGUGUGUUUGAAAUGAAUCACCUUUUGAAUGGUUAGGCUAUGAUUCUUGGUUUUUCUCGUUAUAUAAUUAGCAUUAGCCCUUUUACUUUGAAUGUCCAUAUAUCUGCAAGAGGAGGAAUGAAGGUAAGUUUUGGUCUUUGGUGACACUUUAACAGNAAUUAAGUAUUUCUUUUCUUGAAAUACUAUACUCCUACAAAUUUUAUCUCUUGUUAUUUACGCCUCUCUCUCACACCGAAAACCCUUUUCCUCUUCCUGCCUUUCUCGUAGUCUUGCAUCUCUCUCACACUCGCUCGUCGUGCCGCACAGAUCUUCCCACCUCGCCUUCUCCGGCAACAGCUGUAGUACGGUACGUCUCCUUUUUUCAUUGCCCCAUUCGCCUCGUUUUCACUCGCCGCCACCGUCUUCUCCGCUAACAGCCGCAAAAGGGAAAAUCAGCAGUAGCGUUGCAAGCCUCGAGAAGUUUGCCUCUACAGUUGCAUCAGUCCGCCUCUCUGACCUCCGCGGCUCUGUGUGAGUGCCUUCGUCCGACUUUCACAACUACAGCCAAAUAACUCAAUUAGGGCUUCGAAUUUCCCCUUUUUUCUUCUCGUUCUUCUCUAUUCACGAUUUUUGAAUUUUGUUGUAUUUAUCUGCUAUUCAAAAUGUACCUAUUUAUGGGUAGGUGAAUCUUGAAUUUUUCUUUUUUUAUUUUGUUUAAAAGGAGGUUUCUUGGUAUAAUCCGAUUUGAAAACUUAAGUUCGUUCAAAGUUUUGGAGAAAGGUUGAAUGGUUUUCUUUUGCAGGGGUUUCUGAAAAAUUGAGAAAAUUUUGAAGAACUCUCGACAACUGCCACAGUUUUUGUAAGCGUUUCAGUUUUUACAACUAUCAUAUUCAAUUUUAGCGGAAAAAAUUUGUGUUUUAGCGGGAAUAAGUUACCGUUUAAUUGGUCUUUUAUAUAGUAUAUAGAUUAUAUAGAUUAAAAUAAAUAUGCUGCUUCGAUCGCUCCUUCGAGCAACCGCCGGCGCCGCGUCACUCCGGCAAUCUCAGUGGCAGCUUACCAAUUGCCGGAGCAUGGCCUCGAAAACGCCUAAAGGUGGUUCCAGCAAAGGAAAGAACCCCCAGCCAAAAUUUGAUAAGAAAACACAGUCGAAAUCCGAUCUCAAGGAUAAGAAGCCCCAAGAAGUGCUGGUGGCAAGCCCCGAAUCUAUUGCUAAACAAGACGCGGAGCUCCGCCGCCGCCUGCUAGCGGAGGAUGAGAAGAACCC
rnacentral:lncRNA from 1 species